rnacentral:misc_RNA from 1 species
UUGUACGUCUGUACAUAAUAUUAUUACAGUAAUAAUGAUAUUAUUAUAUAGGUAGCUGCGGGAUCGACUCACUGUUUUCAAGUGUUUUAACGGCGUGCGCGGGCGUGUGUGUGUUACGAAUACAAUCGCUACUAUAAUGGGUAAAUAUUAUUAUGGUAGCGAUAUUAUACGACCCCGCGCGAGCAUGUGCACCGGACGCAGAGUCGUUUUUCCGGUCAAACGCAGUCGCUCCGUCGUCGGAAACGGUCUUCCGGUACUCGAUUGAUCGCCAAGCUGACGUGCCGUAGUUAUAUAAAUCGUGAUUCUCAAUUUCUCAUCCAUUCCAUAGUCCAACAUGGCUUGCGAAUCUUCCACUCGCGUUCUGUUGGUCACGGCGAACAUUGGGUCGAUAUUCGAAAAUCCAAGUGUGAUGUUAAAAAUAUGGACUGAAGAAUUUUUAAACACUGUGAGCAGAUUGGAUCCAUAUUUUAUAGCUUUGCAUUGUCAAGAGGUUGGUGGGAAAAAUUACGAAGAAAGCAUGAAACACGUCAAUUUUUUUGUUAGUUUAUUGAUGACAAGCAAGGAGUUAAGGAUCUUCAACAGAGCUCAAGUAUUUCUUGAUGAAGAAUUCACGUCUGCGGAAAAUUUUACAGCUUUAGGAAACUUUUAUUUUAUACACGAAGCCAUAAAAGAAGCAUCUUUAUGGGAUUUUAAUGAACAAGAGUUUUUACCUGUCACUGAAAAAACCAUAUACUCUGGGAAUAUUGAACAUGUUUCCACAAAAGAAAAGUCAAAAUUUCCUCAAGAAUUUUUUCCGGAGUGUAAAUGGUCACGUAAAGGUUUUUUGAGAACUAGAUGGAAGCUAAAUGGUUCUGUAUUUGAUCUCAUAAAUAUUCAUUUGUUUCAUGAUGCUUCAAAUUUUACUGCGAUGCAAUCUCACUCUUCUGUUUAUUCUGUCAUGAGACAAAAAGCACUUGAAUACACUUUAGAACGGUUUCGUAACUACGAUUUUGGAUUUGCUCCAUUUUUUUUAUUUGGAGAUUUUAAUUUUCGCACGGAUACCAAAGCUGUCAUAAUGAAAAUAGUUGAGGGGUUGGACAUGGUAAAAGAUGAUGUUGAUAAAGAUAACUUAGUUUUUCAGUAUACAGACAAUUCAAAAGAAGUAAUUUUUACUUUAAGAAAAAAAGAAUUUCGCCAUCUGGACCAUCAAAAUACAUUUAUGUCAAAAAGUGGAUCGUGGUUAAAAGAUUUUGAUCAUGAAUUAAAAUCUUUUGAAGAACAAUUAUUUGAAUUUCCUAUACAUUUUCAACCAAGUUAUCCAUUUGAAGAAAAUGAACAUGAAGGAAUGAACUAUAUGCAAACCAGGUGCCCAGCUUGGUGUGAUAGAGUGGUUUUAAGUACUGGUGCUAAACUUCUAAUAAAUGAAAAGGCAUUUGAAGAAGAUAAUUUUGGUGAAGUGGAAUAUGAUCUUAUUGGAAAGAAAACAUGCAUGGGAGAUCAUAAGCCUGUAUACUUGAAAUGUGACAUUAUGAACAAUGCAGGUUUUACAGAAGUAAAUGUUUGGGAAAGGACAUUGUUUGAUUCUAAACUUCCCGAUGACAAGAACUUCGUUCACUUAAAGGAGACUACUGUUUAAAUCAAGAAAUAGGUACACUCUAUUCCAAAUAAGUCUGGAAAAAAUCCCGACGGAAACGCUUCGCGGUUUGUGCAUGUGCAGUCUCAUUGGCUGUGGUUGGUGCGGGUGGCUACUACACCAUUCAGAGGCUGCGCAGUUUUUCCAGAUAUUUGGAAUAGAGUAUAAACGUUUUUGCCCAAAUUCUUAAACAUUUUAGGUUUAGGUAUUGAAGUUUAAUUUUUCCUUGAUUUUAUAGUUAAAUGCUUAUCAAGCUGUCAUCUGAUAAUUCGACACCUGUCCAUAUUUUAUUCAACUUAUUUAAGUAUUAUGUAAGUAUUCAUUCAUUAAAUUUAUAUAUUUCACUAUUUAUUAUAUACAUUAAACGUGUUUUCUGGAAACUUUAAACCUUGUAAACUGUGCCUAAUACUUACACACUACUAAACUGUAAGGGACUAGACACACGACGAAAUACAUUUUUUGUAACCGCAGAAUUAUGCAGAUUAAAUUUGUUCCGGGGUCGUAAUAAUUACCAUACCACCUAGCCAUAGUGAUACGCCUAUAUACGUAAUUUUCUCGGCAAUCAUUAAAUGUUUUAUUUAGUCUAAUUAAUUAUUUGGGUACAAUUGUAUUAAGUGCUAUUGUGAAGCUGAACCCGUAACAAUAUAAAGUUAAUCCCUCACCAACAAUUAUUUUUUUAUUUUCACACGUUUUUUAAUCUAAAUGAAUUGUAUUGGUUUUAAUUACUUGUUCGUUAUAUUUGAACGGUAUAACACUAUUGAGUACCUACUUUAAAAACUGAAAUCAUAAUAAUAUCGUACACAAUGGAGUGACUUUUUGCGAGCUGUUUAGCCUGUUUAGGUAAUCCUUAAUGCCCGAGCCAUAUCGGUAUGGUAUAUAAUGUAAUAAUUAUUUUUCCAACGAUACCUAUAGAAAAUAUACUUACAAAAUGUAACGCGUUUACUGUAUUUAUUUGAUUAUCAGGUAUAAUGUCGUAAAUGAAAUACAAAACCUUAAACACGAAAAGUUUAGCUGUAUACAAAUCAACGUACAUACAUACAAUAUACCUAUAUUAUAGUAACUAAUAAUAUAGGUACGUCAUUGUCCUACUCAUGAACCUACACUACAAUAGGUAUUAUACUGGUAUACAAAGGCAUAGUCAUUAUACUCGUUAAUAUAAUAAUAUAGAUAAUAUUUACUAUAUCAUAACAUAUGAUAUAUAUUAUUUUUAUUGAUUAUUGUUUCAACUUCUUAAUCGCUGUAUUACGUAUCUACUUAAUAGGUACGCGUAUAUAAUAUAUUAUUAAUUUAUUAUUAUUAACUAUCUGUGUAUAGUCGCCUACAAAUUUGAUUCAAUUAAUGAGAAUUAGUUCCUUUAUUUUUUACUUAUAAUAUAGUAGUAUUACCCGUGUUUAGGCUGUGUGUUGAUUAUACUUUUUCUAUUCGAAUUUAAUUUGUUUGUACAAUAUUUACGUACCCAUCUGAGUGUGUUAUUAGUAUGACGUGUUAAGUUGAACGCAUGUAUAAAUUAAUUCUCCAAUUUAAAUUAAACGAAUUGUAGCGUAAAGUUCUGUCGAUACAAAACGGAAAAAAAAUGUAUUAUUAUUAUGUAAUUGGAAUAUUAUGUAUUUAUGUUUAUAUAAUAUCAUUUAAAUAUUUUAAAAAACUCAAUAAGGUUUUUUAAUAAUGAAAACUACGUAGAAUAUAUUUAUUUUAUUGAUCCCUUUAUCAGUGUACCGCCCAACUACUCAUAAUAAUAAUUUGUAAUUGCUAUGUAAUAAAUAAUUAUAAUAUAUUUGUUUCGUACGGAUGUCGCGGGCAAUUUUAAGUUUGAUAAGUUUACCGAAUAGUUAUUAUUGUUAUUAUUAACGCGUUGCACACAAUUCACAACUGAUGUUUGAUAUACCUAGGCGUGCAAUGAUAUUAAAAUUCGACUUUUAGACUAUUCAAGCACACUUUAAAUUAAUGCAUAAUAUGUAUUAUAUAUUUUCUUCAAUUUCCA